UACGUAGGUGGCAAGCGUUAUCCGGAAUUAUUGGGCGUAAAGAGCGCGCAGGUGGUUAAUUAAGUCUGAUGUGAAAGCCCACGGCUUAACCGUGGAGGGUCAUUGGAAACUGGUUGACUUGAGUGCAGAAGAGGGAAGUGGAAUUCCAUGUGUGGCGGUGAAAUGCGUAGAGAUAUGGAGGAACACCAGUGGCGAAGGCGGCUUCCUGGUCUGCAACUGACACUGAGGCGCGAAAGCGUGGGGAGCAAACAGG
rnacentral:rRNA from 1 species